UAUUGGAGGACAAUUCUGGUGCCAGCAGCCACGAUCAUUCCAGCUCCAA
rnacentral:rRNA from 1 species